rnacentral:misc_RNA from 1 species
GAUGAAGAACGCAGCGAAAUGCGAUACGUAAUGUGAAUUGCAGAAUUCAGUGAAUCAUCGAAUCUUUGAACGCAUAUUGCGCUCUUUGGUAUUCCGAAGAGCAUGCUUGUUUGAGUAUCAGUAAACACCUCAAAGCUUUUGGAUUUUUUAAUCGAAAAGCUUUGGACUUGAGCAAUCCCAACACCAAUCUUUUUGAGAUCGGUGGCGGGUUGCUUGAAAUGCAGGUGCAGCUGGACAUUCUCCUGAGCUAAAAGCAUAUUCAUUUAGUCCCGUCAAACGGAUUAUUACUUGUGCUGCAGCUAACAUAAAGGGAGUUUGACCGUAUUGGCUGACUGAUGCAGGAUUUCACAAGGGUCGGCAACGAUUCUUGUUAAACUCGAUCUCAAAUCAAGUAAGACUACCCGCUGAACUUAAGCAUAUCAAUAAGCGGAGGA